UGGGGAAUAUUGACAAUGGGCGCAAGCCUGAUGCAGCCAUGCCGCGUGUAUGAAGAAGGCCUUCGGGUUGUAAAGUACUUUCAGCGGGGAGGAAGGGAGUAAAGUUAAUACCUUUGCUCAUUGACGUUACCCGCAGAAGAAGCACCGGCUAACUCCGUGCCAGCAGCCGCGGUAAUACGGAGGGUGCAAGCGUUAAUCGGAAUUACUGGGCGUAAAGCGCACGCAGGCGGUUGAUUGAGUCAGAUGUGAAAUCCCCGGGCUUAACCCGGGAAUUGCAUCUGAUACUGGUCAGCUAGAGUCUUGUAGAGGGGGGUAGAAUUCCAUGUGUAGCGGUGAAAUGCGUAGAGAUGUGGAGGAAUACCGGUGGCGAAGGCGGCCCCCUGGACAAAGACUGACGCUCAGGUGCGAAAGCGUGGGGAGCAAACAGG
rnacentral:rRNA from 1 species